rfam:Scytonema millei VB511283 scaffold_80, whole genome shotgun sequence.
GAAAGCGAAGUGACGGGAAACUGUCACGCUUCGUUUGGAGACAGGGAUAGAGAAACACGCAAGUCGUGAGGUUUGAAGGUGCGCUCCGUCCCUACUCUAU